UAAGACGGAGGGUGCAAGCGUUGCUCGGAAUUACUGGGUGUAAAGCGCGCGUAGGUGGUUGCCUAAGUCGGAUGUGAAAUCCCUGGGCUUAACCCAGGAACUGCAUUCGAAACUAGGCAGCUUGAGGGCGGGAGAGGAAAGCGGAAUUCCCGGUGUAGAGGUGAUAUUCGUAGAUAUCGGGAGGAACACCAGUGGCGAAGGCGGCUUUCUAGACCGUCCCUGACACUGAGGCGCGAAAGCGUGGGGAGCAAACAGGAUUAGAUACCCUGGUAGUCCACGCCGUAAACGAUGGGCACUAGGUGUUCCCAGAUUUUUGGGGGUGCCGUAGCUAACGCAUUAAGUGCCCCACCUGGGGAGUACGGCCGCAAGGCUA
rnacentral:rRNA from 1 species